rnacentral:rRNA from 1 species
GGUUCCUACGGGACGCAGCAGUGGGGAAUAUUGGGCAAUGGGCGCAAGCCUGACCCAGCAACGCCGCGUGAAGGAAGAAGGCUUUCGGGUUGUAAGCUUCUUUUCUCAGGGACGAAGAAAGUGACGGUACCUGAGGAAUAAGCCACGGCUAACUACGUGCCAGCAGCCGCGGUAAUACGUAGGUGGCAAGCGUUAUCCGGAUUUAUUGGGUGUAAAGGGCGUGUAGGCGGGGGCGCAAGACGGAUGUGAAAACUCAAG